rnacentral:rRNA from 1 species
UACGAAGGGGGCUAGCGUUGUUCGGAAUCACUGGGCGUAAAGGGCGCGUAGGCGGCUUUAUAAGUCGGGGGUGAAAGCCUGUGGCUCAACCACAGAAUUGCCUUCGAUACUGUAGAGCUUGAGCCCGGAAGAGGUAAGUGGAACUGCGAGUGUAGAGGUGAAAUUCGUAGAUAUUCGCAAGAACACCAGUGGCGAAGGCGGCUUACUGGUCCGGUUCUGACGCUGAGGCGCGAAAGCGUGGGGAGCAAACAGG